rnacentral:rRNA from 1 species
GAAAUUAACCUGGGCUCGAUUGACGCUGGCGGCAGGCCUAACACAUGCAAGUCGAACGGUAACAGGAAGCAGCUUGCUGCUUUGCUGACGAGUGGCGGACGGGUGAGUAAUGUCUGGGAAACUGCCUGAUGGAGGGGGAUAACUACUGGAAACGGUGGCUAAUACCGCAUAACGUCGCAAGACCAAAGAGGGGGACCUUCGGGCCUCUUGCCAUCAGAUGUGCCCAGAUGGGAUUAGCUUGUUGGUGAGGUAACGGCUCACCAAGGCGACGAUCCCUAGCUGGUCUGAGAGGAUGACCAGCCACACUGGAACUGAGACACGGUCCAGACUCCUACGGGAGGCAGCAGUGGGGAAUAUUGCACAAUGGGCGCAAGCCUGAUGCAGCCAUGCCGCGUGUAUGAAGAAGGCCUUCGGGUUGUAAAGUACUUUCAGCGGGGAGGAAGGUGUUGUGGUUAAUAACCGCAGCAAUUGACGUUACCCGCAGAAGAAGCACCGGCUAACUCCGUGCCAGCCGCCGCGGUAAUUA